GCUUAACGCGAAGAACCUUACCUGGGUUUAAAUGGGGAGUGACAGGUGUCGAAAGAUGCUUUUCCUUCGGGACACUCUUCAAGGUGCUGCAUGGUUGUCGUCAGCUCGUGCCGUGAGGUGUCGGGUUAAGUCCCAUAACGAGCGCAACCCUUGCCGAUAGUUGCCAUCACGUAAAGGUGGGCACUCUAUCGGGACUGCCGGUGUAAACCGUGAGGAAGGUGGGGAUGACGUCAAAUCAGCACGGCCCUUACAUCCAGGGCUACACACGUGUUACAAUGGCCAGUACAGAGGGCCGCUACCCCGCGAGGGGAUGCCAAUCUCGAAAGCUGGUCUCAGUUCGGAUUGAAGUCUGGAACCCGACUUCAUGAAGCCGGAUUCGCUAGUAAUCGCGCAUCAGCCACGGCGCGGUGAAUACGUUCCCGGGUCUUGUACACACCG
rnacentral:rRNA from 1 species